rnacentral:tRNA from 1 species
CCCGACUUAGCGUAGCCUGGUUUAACGCGUCUGGCUGUAGUUAGUUGAAGGGUGAAUGCCCUUACAGGCGCAGCAGCGACCGGAAGAUCCCCGGUUCAAAUCCGGGAGUCGGGA